rnacentral:lncRNA from 1 species
CUCAGGUCAAAGGACUACUUACAUUAUUCUAACCAUUAGAGUUACUUGCUUGACAUGUGAGUAGACCUCCAUGCAAGUACUCUCUUUCGAUUGUGUUCAGUGAACUCAUUCCCUUAAUGAGCACCUACAUACUUGUCUUAGUGUCACAACACGAAUGGGAUGAGACUUUCCAUCCUUCCAAUUGAAGCGGACACAGUAUGUACCAGUCUAAGCAUUGUCAGUAUCCCUCCGACAAUCCAACGACCAGGAACCUUUUGGACAUAAUGGUUAUGUGAAGAAGGUCUCUGUAGUCUAACUGCAUUAGAUUACUUCUUCAAUCGAUCCAUUGUCCAUGGAUUCACUAUUCAGGACAUAUAUCGUUUAUUGAGAUAGUCCUAAUUAGUAUCUUUGCCAUUUGAUGUAUAAGAAUCAUCCAUACAUCGAUUCAUUUGUCCUAAAAGAUUUCUUCCAAAGAUUGACUUUCAGGGCAUAUUUCCAACAAUCUCCCACUUGCACUAAAGUCAAUCACUAGUGUAUCUUAUACAUCUUGUCGAGAGAGUUUAUGCUCGUAGGUUAACUUGGUUAUGUAUUAACCUCUUUUAUAUUUAAAAGGGAUUUACUUAUCAAAUGUUUCCAAGACAUUUGAUGAUGUCUCUUUAAUGAGUUCGAAUACUUUGAUGAGACCUUGAUUCCAUGGCUUGAGCUAUCGCUCCAUUACGUCGUAGUACUCUACUAACGACCUUAUGGUUUGGAUUUAAUCAUGGGUUCUAAAAGAACCCCUUUCAUUCAAAACAUCUUUUGAAGCAGUUUCUAAAACUUAUAUAUCUACAUAUAUUUCGUUUGUAUACUUUAUACAAAUUUUGCUCCAAGCUUGAGACCAUUGUAGUACAAUACUAACAAUUCAUUCAUAUGAUUAGUACUUCAUCCAUCAUGAAGUUCCAUUUGUUAAAAUGGCUUAUUUUCACCUUGGUUAACAACCUAAGUGAAUGCACGCUUCCAGAGUCCCACUCUGAUGUUUCUUUCUUAAAGGCAAUAAUACUCUAUCAGUUGCUUUGGUUCUGAUCCUGGGAUAUAGUAAUAUCUUAAAGUGAUAAACUCAGUGGUUUCUUCACCUUUGGAUAUCUACUUCACAAGUCAACACAUGUGUCCCUUUUGUGAUUUUAUGACACAUUCAUUAUAAGUGUUAUGAAAGUGAUUUCCUAUCACAUAGGAAAAUGCUUUCUUAAAUCUUCAACAUUUGAGAUUUAAUUCCCAUAUAACAUUAUUGAGAUAGCCUUACUAUAUCAGUAAGUCCAAUUUCAAGUCUAUACUUCAAAAGUGACCGUGUCAUGUUUUGUCAUUUUUCGAGUAACUUCUAUGUUUCAUCAAGUCUAUCAAAUAGCCUUUAUUCACAUCUUGUUGCUCAAAUUAUGACAUCACUCCCACUGGUCUUGUUGUAACUUAGCAUUCAUUCAAAAAUAACACUUAUAUUCUCUUGAUUUGAAUGCAUGUUGCUCCCACUAACUUGUCUUGGAUUUAUUGACAAUCAUUUAGAAUCCAUUAGCUUAUAGAUGAUGUCUCAACAAUUUUGAGACUAUCAUCAAUGCUAGCUAACACAAGUUAUUUAAACGAACAUACACAAAAGAAUUUCUUCUAAAGUAACCUUUUUUGAAAUGUGUGACUUGCUUUAUCAAGUCUAUUCAUUUAAAUUAUAUGGUGUCGUACACCAUACUUUAAGUUUUUAGUCAUACUAAGACCUUUUAAUGUAGUCAUAUAAGAAUUAUCCAAGUCUUUAGUGAAGCAUGGCUCCUACUAAGGAUAUGGAAACUCAACCAUUCCUUCUAGGUGGUUGAUAUAAUUCUUUAUCAAAACUACAUAAAGCAAUAUAGUUACAUGAGAUGUUGUAUUUGGAUUGUCUUGUUGUUAAACCAUAUGUUGUGACUCAUUUUGAAACUAAUUCCCUUUUGUUUCAUCAACUUGUCCAUAUGCUUUGUUAUUAGCAUGUUCUCAUAAAAGAGAAUGAUGGACAACUCCCAACAUAUAAACAAUUUUGCUAGGUUGACGAAACCACCAUUCAAAGACUAUUCUUUAAAUGUUACACAACAUAGAAUUUUAACGUUUAAAGAGCUUGAGUCCUUUUAACAAUUAAAAUUACAAACUCUUAAUAAUAGUCAAAGUACUAUUAUUCUUUAGACAACUAUAAACCAAUCACAUUCAAGUUUAUAUCCAUUUUUCACACCUCCCACUAUUUCUCAUGACUUUAAUGAGAAAUCAUUUCAUACAUUCAAAAUGUAUAAAAGUGGAUUAUAUUGGUAGAAGACAUUGUGUAGUAGCUUUGAAAUAUUUCAAGCUUAUUUGUUUCAAUCUUCACUAAGUUUCUGUCUUGUUAUUAAGUGAAUAAAUUCUUUAAACAUUUUAUAGAUUUAGACACUUCUUUCUUGGUUUAAUCACUAACACAAUUGACAUUUUAAAACCUUUUAAAGAAUGUCCAAUUAGUUGUUCAAAACUACUAAUUGAAUCAAGAGUGAUCUUGAUCAUUGUGUUUGAAGUGAUAACCAUAUAAGAAACGUUUUUCUUAUUACUUAUAUCAUUAUAAUGUGAUCUUCCUUUUCUUCAAGAAAGGAUUCUCUAGACUUUUGUCAAUUCAUAUAGAACUCAUAAGUAGACAAAUGGAACCAAAUCUAAAGAUUCAUUGUAUCCUUUUAUGUCCUACAUGUGAGAUCUAUCCAUAAUUGAUAAAUCUAAAGUUUGGUUAUCACAUUAUAAUAAGUGAUAUAACUCUUGUAUCUCAUCUAGGAUACAACAAGACAAUUUUCAAUUCAUAACACUACUUUAAGGAAAUAGUAUAUUUAAAAGGGCAUACUUCACAUUACAUUAAUAUGAUAGUUCAAACAUUCAUAAUGUUUAAUACAUAAAGUAUUAGCUCUAUACAUUUAGAGACUAAUAUAAAUGCCUUUAUACAUUUAGGCACUAAUAGUGGCCUUCCAUCAAAUGAAGCCAUAUAAUUAGUUCUUAACAAAAUAAGAAAGUUUAAAGACAAUCUUUAAAUGCCUAACAAAACUUCCUAAGUAGUAAGCAAAAAACAUAGUGGCCGAACCCUUCUCCAAAGAUUCUUUGCUUGUCUUUCUUCUACUUGGCUUCUCCACCUAUAUACAAUUAUACAAGUGAUUAGCACUUUAUAUCAAAUAUAA